UUUACAUCGUGACAGAGUACAUGAGCAAGG
rnacentral:piRNA from 1 species